rnacentral:tRNA from 1 species
GCCCGGAUAGCUUAGCCGAUAGAGUAUCAAUCCUUUAAUCUGAGGGUCCAGGGUUCAUGUCCCUGUUUGGGUG